rnacentral:rRNA from 1 species
AGUGAACGCUGGCGGCAGGCCUAACACAUGCAAGUCGAGCGGCUGAAGGGUGCUUGCUCCCGGAUUCAGCGGCCGACGGGCGAGUGAUUCCUGGGAAUCUGCCUGGCAGUUGGGGAGAAGGUCCGGAAAUGGGCGCUAUUACCGUAUUCCUCCUGAGGGCGAAAGGGGGGGAUCAUGGGACCUUCCGCCAUUAGACGAGCCAAGGUCGGAUUAGCUAGUUGGUGGGGUAAAGGCCUACCAAGGCGACGAUCCGUAACUGGUCUGAGAGGAUGAUCAGCCACACUGGAACUGAGACACGGUCCAGACUCCUACGGGAGGCAGCAGUGGGGAAUAUUGGACAAUGGGCGAAAGCCUGAUCCAGCCAUACCGCGUGGGUGAAGAAGGUCUUCGGGUUGUAAAGCCCUUUAGUUGGGAAGGAAGGGCAGUAGGUUAAUACCCUGCUGUUUUGACGUUACCAAAAGAAUAAGCACCGGCUAACUUCGUG